CCUACGGGAUGCAGCAGUGGGGAAUAUUGCACAAUGGGCGAAAGCCUGAUGCAGCAACGCCGCGUGAAGGAAGACGGUUUUCGGAUUGUAAACUUCUGUUCUUAGUGAAGAAUAAUGACGGUAACUAAGGAGCAAGCCACGGCUAACUACGUGCCAGCAGCCGCGGUAAUACGUAGGUGGCAAGCGUUGUCCGGAAUUACUGGGUGGAAAGGGAGCGUGGGCGGGAAGCCAAGUCAGCUGUGAAAUCUACGGGCUUAACCUGUAGACUGCAGUUGAAACUGGCGUUCUUGAGUGAAGUAGAGGGUGGCGGAAUUCCGAGUGUAGCGGUGAAAUGCGUAGAUAUUCGGAGGAACACCAGUGGCGAAGGCGGCCAACUGGGCUGUAACUGACGCUGAGGCUCGAAAGUGUGGGGAGCAAACAGGAUUAGAUACCCGGGUAGUC
rnacentral:rRNA from 1 species